CGGCGGUCUGGGUAAGUAGGUCGCUGCUCAUGGUGGUCGCUGCCGGCUCUGGCGCGCAGACAUUGUCGAGAGGCGCGCACGCCCACGCGCUGCCGGGCGUCGGGGUCCCAGCGUCAAAGGGAUCAUUGCCCUCGUCAUAGGCGGGCAGCGGAGGUGGGAGGGUUGAGGCGGCAGCCGCCAGUGCGCCGGUGCCCAUCCACCGCGAUGUGGUUGUCCCGCCGAGCGGCUGGAAGCGUACGGGUAUGCACAGGGGACGCAUGGCCGGGAGCGACGACGACCCGAUAUCAUUGUUGGCCUGGUUGGCGAGCAUGGUUACGGAAAAAAAAGGGGUACAAAAAUAUGAGCCCUUCACAAAAGGAUGGCCGAUGUGGCCGAAAAGAAGGACGAGCGCCUGGGCCGACAAGGGAUGCGCGUAUAUUGCGCGUGCACGACCCUUUUCCUUUUGAUGGCGCCGCGGUUUGGGCGCGUACACGCGACUCUGUCGACCGCCCCUUUUUUCCUCUCUCGGCUGUGCCGUCGCUUGUCCCCCGACCGUGCAACACAAGGCUUCUCGGUCCAACAAAUGAAAAGAAAAUGAAUAAAAAAAGAAACAGGAAAGAAAAAAGGGGAUCAGCCCGCGCGUGUUCCUGACCGCGCACAAUGAUCCCGAAAAGAAAAAGACGAAAAGACUUGCCGGCCUCUGCGCGCACGAAGAGAAAAAAAAGUCUGGCGCCGCCACGGCCUGCAACCGCCAAGGCAAGACGGCUCCCACGAGGCAAGGCACCGCCAAAAGGGCAAAGCAAGACCACAAAGACGUGCAAAAAAAGGCGACCCCACAGAAUUGGGUUUUUCGAGAUGCAACUGGUUGUAUAUUUUUUGUGUUUUUAAAAAAAAUAGAAAACUCUUUCGAGG
rnacentral:lncRNA from 1 species